AAUUUAAUUUUUUACCUUACACACUUGGAUAUUGAUACCAACAACAAAACCCCAAAUUUUUUAAUUAUUUAAAAAACAACAAAAAAAAUCAAAACUUUCAACAACGGAUCUCUUGGUUCUCGCAUCGAUGAAGAACGCAGCGAAAUGCGAUACGUAGUAUGACUUGCAGACGUGAAUCAUCGAAUCUUUGAACGCACAUUGCGCCUCGAGGUAUUCCUCGAGGCAUGCCUGUUUGAGCGUCGGCCCCCCCUCUAACCCUCGGGUUAGGCGUUGACACGAAAUACCAAGCGCAAUCAAUCUCAUGUUUUUGAUGACGCCCCAUUUUUCGCCCUCAA
rnacentral:misc_RNA from 1 species